CCUCAUGGCCCUUAUAUCCAGGGCUACACACGUGCUACAUGGUUGGUACAAAGGGUUGCCAAGCCGUGAGGCGGAGCCAAUCUCAAAAAGCCAACCUCAGUUCGGAUUGCAGUCUGCAACUCGACUGCAUGAAGUUGGAAUCGCUAGUAAUCGCUGAUCAGCAGGCACGCGGUCCGAAUACGUUCCGGGCCUU
rnacentral:rRNA from 1 species